rnacentral:rRNA from 1 species
GGAUGCGAUCAUACCAGCACUAAAGCACCGGAUCCCAUCAGAACUCCGAAGUGAAGCGUGCUUGGGCGAGAGUAGUACUUGGAUGGGUGACCUCCUGGAAAGUCCUCGUGUUGCAUUCC